rnacentral:rRNA from 1 species
ACUAAGCGUACACGGUGGAUGCCCUGGCAGUCAGAGGCGAUGAAGGACGUGCUAAUCUGCGAUAAGCGUCGGUAAGGUGAUAUGAACCGUUAUAACCGGCGAUUUCCGAAUGGGGAAACCCAGUGUGAUUCGUCACACUAUCAUUAACUGAAUCCAUAGGUUAAUGAGGCGAACCGGGGGAACUGAAACAUCUAAGUACCCCGAGGAAAAGAAAUCAACCGAGAUUCCCCCAGUAGCGGCGAGCGAACGGGGAGCAGCCCAGAGCCUGAAUCAGUGUGUGUGUUAGUGGAAGCGUCUGGAAAGGCGCGCGAUACAGGGUGACAGCCCCGUACACAAAAAUGCACAUGCUGUGAGCUCGAUGAGUAGGGCGGGACACGUGGUAUCCUGUCUGAAUAUGGGGGGACCAUCCUCCAAGGCUAAAUACUCCUGACUGACCGAUAGUGAACCAGUACCGUGAGGGAAAGGCGAAAAGAACCCCGGCGAGGGGAGUGAAAAAGAACCUGAAACCGUGUACGUACAAGCAGUGGGAGCACAGAGCAAUCUGUGUGACUGCGUACCUUUUGUAUAAUGGGUCAGCGACUUAUAUUCUGUAGCAAGGUUAACCGAAUAGGGGAGCCGAAGGGAAACCGAGUCUUAACUGGGCGUUAAGUUGCAGGGUAUAGACCCGAAACCCGGUGAUCUAGCCAUGGGCAGGUUGAAGGUUGGGUAACACUAACUGGAGGACCGAACCGACUAAUGUUGAAAAAUUAGCGGAUGACUUGUGGCUGGGGGUGAAAGGCCAAUCAAACCGGGAGAUAGCUGGUUCUCCCCGAAAGCUAUUUAGGUAGCGCCUCGUGAAUUCAUCUCCGGGGGUAGAGCACUGUUUCGGCAAGGGGGUCAUCCCGACUUACCAACCCGAUGCAAACUGCGAAUACCGGAGAAUGUUAUCACGGGAGACACACGGCGGGUGCUAACGUCCGUCGUGAAGAGGGAAACAACCCAGACCGCCAGCUAAGGUCCCAAAGUCAUGGUUAAGUGGGAAACGAUGUGGGAAGGCCCAGACAGCCAGGAUGUUGGCUUAGAAGCAGCCAUCAUUUAAAGAAAGCGUAAUAGCUCACUGGUCGAGUCGGCCUGCGCGGAAGAUGUAACGGGGCUAAACCAUGCACCGAAGCUGCGGCAGCGACGCUUAUGCGUUGUUGGGUAGGGGAGCGUUCUGUAAGCCUGCGAAGGUGUGCUGUGAGGCAUGCUGGAGGUAUCAGAAGUGCGAAUGCUGACAUAAGUAACGAUAAAGCGGGUGAAAAGCCCGCUCGCCGGAAGACCAAGGGUUCCUGUCCAACGUUAAUCGGGGCAGGGUGAGUCGACCCCUAAGGCGAGGCCGAAAGGCGUAGUCGAUGGGAAACAGGUUAAUAUUCCUGUACUUGGUGUUACUGCGAAGGGGGGACGGAGAAGGCUAUGUUGGCCGGGCGACGGUUGUCCCGGUUUAAGCGUGUAGGCUGGUUUUCCAGGCAAAUCCGGAAAAUCAAGGCUGAGGCGUGAUGACGAGGCACUACGGUGCUGAAGCAACAAAUGCCCUGCUUCCAGGAAAAGCCUCUAAGCAUCAGGUAACAUCAAAUCGUACCCCAAACCGACACAGGUGGUCAGGUAGAGAAUACCAAGGCGCUUGAGAGAACUCGGGUGAAGGAACUAGGCAAAAUGGUGCCGUAACUUCGGGAGAAGGCACGCUGAUAUGUAGGUGAAGUCCCUCGCGGAUGGAGCUGAAAUCAGUCGAAGAUACCAGCUGGCUGCAACUGUUUAUUAAAAACACAGCACUGUGCAAACACGAAAGUGGACGUAUACGGUGUGACGCCUGCCCGGUGCCGGAAGGUUAAUUGAUGGGGUUAGCGCAAGCGAAGCUCUUGAUCGAAGCCCCGGUAAACGGCGGCCGUAACUAUAACGGUCCUAAGGUAGCGAAAUUCCUUGUCGGGUAAGUUCCGACCUGCACGAAUGGCGUAAUGAUGGCCAGGCUGUCUCCACCCGAGACUCAGUGAAAUUGAACUCGCUGUGAAGAUGCAGUGUACCCGCGGCAAGACGGAAAGACCCCGUGAACCUUUACUAUAGCUUGACACUGAACAUUGAGCCUUGAUGUGUAGGAUAGGUGGGAGGCUUUGAAGUGUGGACGCCAGUCUGCAUGGAGCCGACCUUGAAAUACCACCCUUUAAUGUUUGAUGUUCUAACGUGGACCCGUAAUCCGGGUUGCGGACAGUGUCUGGUGGGUAGUUUGACUGGGGCGGUCUCCUCCUAAAGAGUAACGGAGGAGCACGAAGGUUGGCUAAUCCUGGUCGGACAUCAGGAGGUUAGUGCAAUGGCAUAAGCCAGCUUGACUGCGAGCGUGACGGCGCGAGCAGGUGCGAAAGCAGGUCAUAGUGAUCCGGUGGUUCUGAAUGGAAGGGCCAUCGCUCAACGGAUAAAAGGUACUCCGGGGAUAACAGGCUGAUACCGCCCAAGAGUUCAUAUCGACGGCGGUGUUUGGCACCUCGAUGUCGGCUCAUCACAUCCUGGGGCUGAAGUAGGUCCCAAGGGUAUGGCUGUUCGCCAUUUAAAGUGGUACGCGAGCUGGGUUUAGAACGUCGUGAGACAGUUCGGUCCCUAUCUGCCGUGGGCGCUGGAGAAUUGAGGGGGGCUGCUCCUAGUACGAGAGGACCGGAGUGGACGCAUCACUGGUGUUCGGGUUGUCAUGCCAAUGGCACUGCCCGGUAGCUAAAUGCGGAAGAGAUAAGUGCUGAAAGCAUCUAAGCACGAAACUUGCCCCGAGAUGAGUUCUCCCUGACUCCUUGAGAGUCCUGAAGGAACGUUGAAGACGACGACGUUGAUAGGCCGGGUGUGUAAGCGCAGCGAUGCGUUGAGCUAACCGGUACUAAUGAACCGUGAGGCUUAACC